rnacentral:rRNA from 1 species
UACGUAGGUGGCAAGCGUUGUCCGGAAUUGUUGGGCGUAAAGCGCGCGCAGGCGGCCUCUUAAAGUCUGAUGUGAAAGCCCCCCGGCUCAACCGGGGGAGGGCCUUGGAAACUGGGAGGCUUGAGUAUAGGAGAGAAGAGUGGAAUUCCACGUGUAGCGGUGAAAUGCGUAGAGAUGUGGAGGAACACCAGUGGCGAAGGCGCUCUUUGGCCUAUAACUGACGCUGAGGCGCGAAAAGCGUGGGGGAGCAAACAGG